CUUAAUUUCUACAAAUACCUUAAACCCUUUACUAUUAUUAAGUAAUUUUAUAAAAAUAUAAAAGUCUUCAUGCUAGAACUAGUAACAAGAAAUUGAAUUUCUCCUAAAUAUAAGCAUAAACCAAAAUGGACCAACCAUUGGUAAUUAACGUUUAUCAACUAACUAUAGCAACACCUCAAGAAAAUAUUAUAACCUCGCACGUUAACCUUACACAAGCAUAUUACAGGAAGAUUAAAAGAAUAGGAAGGAAUUCGGCAAACUUUAACCCCGCUGUUACCAAAACAUCGCUUUGAUUAAAUAUAAGAGGUCCAGCCUGCCCGGUGAAUUACUUUAACGGCCGCGGAACCAUAACCGUGCAAAGGUAGCAUAAUCAUUUGUUCCUUAAAUAGGGACUUGUAUCAACGGCAUCACGAGGGUUAUACUGUCUCCCCACUCUAAUCAGUGAAACUGACCUCCCCGUGAAGAGGCGGGGAUUAUAAUACUAGACGAGAAGACCCCAUGGAGCUUUAAACCCAAUAAUAUUCUCAACAAUGACAAUCCAUCAAAGUACAAAAGUCUAUAUCUAUUGGUUUUAGGUUGGGGUGACCACGGAGUAAAACAAAUCCUCCUUGACGAACAGGUCUUAGCCUAAUCCAAGAGUCACUACUCUAAGAAUCAAAAAUUUGACGUAAAAUGAUGCCAAAGCGAUCAACGAACCAAGUUACCCUGGGGAUAACAGCGCAAUCCGUUUCGCUUAUCGACAAACGGGUUUACGACCUCGAUGUUGGA
rnacentral:rRNA from 1 species